AGAGAUUUAUUCAGAUGUAAGAGUUAUUCAUCAGCCAGCCAGCCAGCAAUUCUGGAUUACUAAUUGUCAGGUGUUACUGGAGAUGACUUUUUAAAUUACAUUAAAUUUUCAGAUUUUACAAACAAUGUCCCCCUGUAGAACAGAGUUUCAAUCUUUGACUGCUGAUGAACAACUAAUAGCCACGAUGUCCCUCCAGGCAGCAAUGGAUGCCUCUGAAUACAGCCUCUGAUUCUAUGACACUGUCUAUCAUUAAGAGGAGGGCACCCUGGUUCUGGCAUCCAAUGGGAGGUGCAUUUGAUGGUGAAAGAUGUUCCCUUUUCCCCCCUUUUUAUCCACUUCUCCCACUCAAGACCUUAGUGAUAGACAUAGAAUCAUGGGACUGGAAGGGACCUCGAGAGGUCAUCUAGUCCAGUCCCCUGCACUCGUGGCAGGACAUAUCCCUUCUGAAAUGGGGAGCAUAUCUGGACCAUCAUCAAGCUCCAGGUCUACAGACCCAUGAGGAUACUUGACUACACAUAAAUGUAUUAGGGCCCAAAGUGGUUUGCAGAGCUUGUGUUGCAUUCCUACCAAUUAUCCAUGGACUGACAGUUCAAGUUAUGACUGACAACACAACAACCAUGUUUUAUAUAAACAGACAGGGAGGAACCCUUUGAUGUCCGGCAGGAGGUUAACUAUGGAACUGAUGUUUCAGCACUAAGUAAUCGCUCAUAGCAAUACAUAUCCUAGAUCUGCAGAAUGCUCUAGAAGAUAGUUUUGUCAAGCCAUGAGUGGAUGAUCAAGGAUUCUGUUAUCCAUCACAUUUUCCACGUGUGGGGUCAUCCUUCUGUAGACUUAUUUGCAACCGCCCAAGAACAUGAAAUGUAUCAAUUUCUGCUCCAAAGGAGGUCUAAGCCCAGAAUUCCUGUCUGAUACAUUCCUCACUCAGUGGUUGCCAGGGUUGAUGUAUGCUUACAUCCCUCUGAUUCCCAGGAUGUUCAAAAAGAUCAGACAAGAUGCUGCCACGGUCAUUAUGAUAGCAGCUGCCUGGCUGAGGUAGUUUUCGUACCUGGAGUUGAUGCUCUUAUCAUUUCGUCCACUGAAAACCUUUUAAAUUCUACCAGAUGUAAUAUCUCAAAAAAAGGGGAACAUCUUACCUCUAAAUCCAUCCUCCCUCCAUCUCACAGCUUGGCUACUUACUGAAUGUCAGACACAGAGAGAUCAUGUUCCUCAGAUGUUCAGAACAUUUUGAUCCGAAGUAGAAAAGAUUCCUGAGUAACAUAGACUGUUAAGUGGAAAAGAUUCAGGAUUUGAUGUAAACAAAGUCAAUUACAACCUGUUGAUUCCCAGUUCCCUAAUUCUUGGACUACUUGCACUCUCUAAAGAGCUUCGAACUAUCUAUUAGAGUGUUCCUGGGAGCCAUAUUGCCACUUUCCCGCUAUUCCCUCCCCCCGCAACGCUAUAGUUUUUUUCCACCUAGUAUGACUACUUUUCUUAAGGGCCUUAUACAUGUUUUUUCCAACCAGUAAGGGAACCUCCUUCUCCAUUGGACUUUAAUGUUGUGCUGGCAGGUAAGCCACAUCCAUUUAAGCACCUAGCAAACUGCUCCCUGUUGCAUUUAUCUACAAAAACAUCCUUAGCAGUGGCAAUUACAUCAGCUAGAAGAUUUGGGGAAAUGCAAGCUCUCAUGGCUGGCCCUUCCUGUACAAUAUUUCAUAUGGGUGAAGUAUCACUCAGAUCCCACCCUGAGUUCCUGCCCAAGGUAGCAACGGGUUUCCAUUUGAACCAAAUGACCCUUUUAGUGGUGUUGCCCCUAAAACACUUACUAAUCAGGGGAAAGCUACGGUGCACAUUUCAAGUUCACAGGGCCUCCUUUUAUUCACGAAGAGCCUAACCUUUCAGAGUUUCAAAGAGAAGAUUUGUACCAUUUGCCGACAGAGAGGAAGGUCAAGCGGUAUCUCCUCCGAGCCUACCCAAGUGGGCGUCGGGAUGGAUUAGGGUCUGCUAUGAGUUAGCUAGUUUAAAUCCCUCCGGCUCAGAUUAGGGCUCACCCCCACUCGGGGUUCUUCAGCCCAUACGUCUCUUGAGUGUUAUGCUCUGGCGCAAGCAUCGCCACCUUCUUUUGGCAGAGCUGUGCUCUUCCCAACGCCACGGGGCACCCCGCGUGCACACGGUGGGGCACAGGGAGUGCGGUGCUACAAGUGGGAUGGAUUUGCACAAGCACUCGAAGAAGUAAGAAAAGUUACUUCUCUGAGUGGGGCGGGAGUCUGGGGCGAUUCAUUACCCGCCUCCGUGGCACGACCCACCCUCCGUGCCUGCUCCCCGCCAGCGCCUGGAGGGGGCAGGGGAAUGAGGGUCCCCGUUUGAUAUGGAGGGGCCUGACUGGAAGAGUCAACAGUGCGAAGCCCGGAGCCCUGACUCCUGCCCCAACCAUUGACGGCCUCCCAGCCUCGCGUCCCCCUCAGAACUAGCAGCUGCCCCCGGCCUCCCACUGCCUUCCCUUCCCUUCCCUCCCCGCCUCGCCUCAGAGCCGCCCCCCGCGCAUUUGGUUCUGCCCAUUCUCUCCCUCCCCGCCGCCCCCCCGCGCGCAUUUGGUUCUGCCCGCUCCCAAGCCGCCUCGUGUCCUCGAUUCCCUUCCCCUCCCGGCGCCGCGGGCGCUAGCCUCCCAGCUCGGUGUUUUGUCCCCGGGCGGGUUCCGUAGCGCGUGCAGCGGCCCCUCCCCUCUGCGGCUCGCUCGCUCGCUCGGCUGCGCGAUUGUGCGGGCGAGAGGCGGCGGCGGCGGAGGGAGCGAGUGACACAGGAGGCGGCAGCAGCAGCUCGGCGGCGCCAUGGCGGCCGCUCUCAGCGACAUGGCGGAGCCGGAGGGGCUGUUUCCCGGCGAGGCGGCGGCGGCGGGGGCCGAGGAGGAGGAGGAGGCCGGGGCGGCGGCGGCGGAGUCCGAGGCGCUGCUGCUGCUGAGCGGCGAGGCCGAGAGCAUGUCGGAGCCGAGCCCGGAGAGCGCCAGCCAGGCCGGGGACGGGGAGGACGAGGAGGAGGAGGAGGAGGGCGGCGAGGAGAGCAGCCUGGUGGGGAGCAGCAGCACCAGCAGCGGCUGCUGCAGCGACGCGACCCGCUCGCCCAGCCCCGGCGGCAGCAGCGAGGCCGACGCUAAGGAGGAGCCCAAGGGCCCCCGGGGCAGUCAGGAGGACGGGCUGGGCCGCGGCGGCGGCAGUAGCAGCAGCAGCGUGUCCAGCGGCGGAGACGAAGGCUACGGCACCGGCGGAGGGGGCGGCAGCAGCGGCAGCAGCAGCUGCAGCGCCACGUCGGGGGGCCGGCGGGGCAGCCUGGAGAUGUCCUCGGACGGGGAGCCCCUGAGCCGGAUGGACUCGGAGGACAGCAUAAGCAGCACUAUCAUGGACGUAGACAGCACAAUUUCCAGUGGACGUUCAACUCCAGUUAUGAUGAAUGGCCAAGGAGUUACUGCUUCCUCGGCAAAAAGUAUUGCUUAUAACUGUUGUUGGGACCAGUGCCAUGCUUGCUUCAACUCCAGCCCGGAUUUGGCAGAUCACAUUCGCUCCAUACAUGUAGAUGGUCAGCGAGGAGGGGUAUUUGUUUGCUUGUGGAAAGGUUGCAAAGUAUAUAAUACACCUUCAACAAGUCAAAGUUGGUUACAGAGGCAUAUGCUGACACACAGUGGGGACAAACCUUUCAAGUGUGUGGUUGGUGGGUGCAAUGCCAGUUUUGCAUCUCAGGGAGGGCUGGCUCGUCAUGUGCCCACGCACUUCAGCCAGCAGAACUCUUCAAAAGUUGCCAGCCAGCCAAAGGCCAAAGAGGAAUCUCCUUCUAAAGCUGGAAUGAAUAAAAGAAGGAAGUUAAAGAACAAAAGACGACGCUCAUUACCAAGACCACAUGAUUUCUUUGAUGCACAAACACUGGAUGCCAUACGACAUCGAGCCAUCUGCUUCAACCUCUCAGCUCAUAUAGAAAGUUUAGGAAAAGGCCAUAGUGUUGUAUUUCAUAGUACUGUAAUAGCUAAAAGAAAAGAGGAGUCUGGAAAAAUAAAACUCUUGCUUCACUGGACGCCAGAAGACAUAUUUUCAGUGUCCCAUCUGGUCGUGUGCAAGAGCAUGAACCCAACGGUGUGGAUCUAUUAUAAUUACUGUCUUCAGAGAACAAGGAUUACUGUCUGCCUGAUGUGUGGGUAAAUGAAAGUGAACGACAUCAAUUAAAAACUAAAGUAGUUCAUUUAUCAAAACUACCAAAAGAUACUGCCUUGCUUCUGGACCCAAACAUAUACAGAACAAUGCCACAGAAGAGGUUGAAGAGGUAAAAACCAAGCAAUUGGGGACACCUGCAGUCUUAGUCACUGACAAUGGAAUUAGAAAUAAAGUUGCACAUUAGUCAAGGCCCCCCAACCCACCCCCAUCCUUUUUUCAAAUCCUUAGAUAAUAUUUAUGCUUAGUGUAAACAUUCUGUGAAUGAAGUAGAUGCUUCUGUGGAAUAUAUUAAUAUAUUACUGUAUAUCCACAUUGUCAUGGAAUGGUACAGUGGGAGACUGAGCAAACACUCUUCUGGCAACUUAGUGGAACAACUAAAAGGCUUUGCAUGCUUGCUUCUUUAAGCUGCUUUUCUUUUGUUAGUAUAUACAGUAGUUUGAUGAAAAGAGGAAGUAACUAACCAUCACAACUUACACAGUUCCCGGGAGAACUCUUAACAAGCUGCUAAGAGUUUAACACUCACCAGACAAUGAACAAACUACCAAGGCUUUAUCCUAUUACCUUCUGAGUAUGGUGGAUCGUGAUCAAUCGUCAUUUGUACACUUGUGCGUCCUUUCACAAAAACUAAUAAGAGACAUUAAAUGAUGUUUAAACAAAUGUUAAUGGAAUGCUUGUUUUUCCCAAUCAGCUAUAAAUUCAUAUAUCCAAGUAAGACUGAAAGGUGUUGUUAAGAGUGUUGCAGUAUGUCUGACCCUUUUUCAGGACUAGUACUGUAUGUUAAUGAGGUCUACUUUUAUGUAAUCUUUAUUACUGAACGGUUUUUGAAAAACCUCUACUUAAGCAGUUAGUGAAAUUGGUGUUUGAUUUUAAUUUUUUGACCUUUUAAGACACUGUCACUUGUACAGUAUAUGUUUUUUUAUUUGGCCUAAUCUUUUCUAGAUGUAAAGAAAAUGAUAUUUUUUUAAAACAUCUAGAAAUUCAACCUUUAUGCACCAAAGUUGGCUUUGAAAAGGAAAAUAAAAUCACUUUCUUGCUUAAUAAGCAAGAAAUCAUGGAUUUUUUUAACUUACAGAAAUAGAAAUGUGUGUAACUUGUUAGUCUUGUAUGGAGACAAAAAUGUUGCAUAUAGAUAAUAGGACAUUGCUUGUAAAUAAUUCAGCAGAUUUGUAAUAUAUUUUUAUAUUAUGAAAUGUACUGUAGAUGUUUUUCUAGAGGCAUGAAAGUUAAAAUGUAUAUAUUAUGUUAGAAAAUAUGGAAGGAUAUUGUAAUUCACUAGUGCUGCCAGAAGAAAUGUUUAAAAAAGCACCUUCCUAACAACAACAAAAGUCGUUUGCAUACCUAAGGGACUAUGUACUACUGUUAAUAUCUGUUGUAAGAACAAAAAUACAUUGAACAUCCUUCCCAGAAAUCUUUGAGGGAUGAACAGAACCCAAAAUGGCACUCCUUUCUGAUAGUGAACGUGAAAUCAGUCAUUUCCUUGCUGUUGGAAGGAACUAAUGUAAAAUAUAUGUGCAGUCAAACUGCAGAAUUAGUCUUCCUUAUUGGGGAGGAAUUUUCACGUUACUACAGUGAAACGAAAAACCAGCAGUUUUUACACUAAAAUUUUAUUAAAUAGAAUAAAACUUAGAAUUAAUCCUUUGGCUGCAGGGUUAAGUGUUUCCUAAUAUAAUACGAAUGCAUUCUGCAUUGGUACUGACACAAGAGACUUGCUUGGCUCCAACGGGUUAAAUAUGUUACUUAUAUACAUGAAAAAUCUUAUCAAACAAAAUGAAGUGCAAAUUAAAAGCACCACUAAUAUAAGAUGUUCUGGAAUGGUUGGUUAAUAAAUAAGGGUAUUAUUCAUAAGAUUUGUAGCAACCUGACUUUAUUUUUAAAAAAAGUACAGUGUUUUGUUUAAUUUUUUUGCUUGAGCACUUCAUCUACUGCUUAUUCUGUACCUAUAAAGUAAUCCACAAUCUCUUUUUUUGGUUCUUUUUUAAAAUUUGUUAUAAAAUUGCCAAAUAGAAGUGUUUCAGAUAUAGUUUGUAUUUGUAUUUUUUUAAUUUUAUUGCUUCAUGAGUUCCUUGUAAGUCAUCUAUAAUUGACAGAUGAUUGUAGACCUUGCCUGAGUAUUUUUUCUAAUAAAACAAAGCAAAUAACCACA